AAUUUAUUGAGAUGCACCUGUAUAUAGUAUAUUCAAAUGAAUAAAUGUCUAUUUUUCCAGCCUGUUGUAUUAGUAUUUAUUUAUCGGAGAUAACUUUUAAUAUGUGCAAGUGUUUCAGUGUAUUUCGUCUAAAUCAGCCUCUCGCCCAAAUCAGCCUUUCAUAUAGUGGAAAGCACACUCGUGCUUCCCCCUCUCUUUCGCUCUCGCACAAACUCUACUUAUAUACACACACACACACUCUGGAGCAAAGUCAGUGCAGGGUUGUAAACAGUUGUUUAGCAAUGGAAAAGCUGUAUACAAGAAUACUGAAAGUAUACUGCUGAGAAGUAUACUUAAACUUACAUCUUGGCAGUUUGAAGUGAUGUUAUUACCAGUGUUGGGUAACGUUACUUUUAAAAGUAACUUGUUAGAAUAUUGCGUUACUCCUUAAAGUAACUUACUUAAAAAGUUUUUUUUUUAAUUUUAUGGAAACUAAAGCAUUACAUUAGUUUUGCAUUACUUCUCACUGCCACUCUCUCUUCUGCUGUACAUUCAAUACAAAUACAAGAGAUAUGUAGAGGCAUUACAGGUCAUGCUAGCUACUGUACAAUACUCAUGUCAAAACAACACACUAAACAAACAGAUAUUUAGAAAGUCUACAAUCAGUAGGUCUUCAUAUCAUAUUUAUAAUAAAGACUCAAUAACUGGAAUAUGCAUGAUUUGUUUUUCCAUCGACAUGGCAGCCAACAUGAAUAAUGAAGAAUAACCACUGCCUUACCUACAGUAGCAAAGUCCAACACUUAAACCUGCAUCAUAUGUCAUCAUGUGCGGUGCCCAUCAACAAUGCCAGAGUCAACUUGAGAUGUUUUUCAUAAGUUAGGAUAAUUUUCAGUGAGGAAUGCCAACCUAACAUGUUCAAGGAAUAAGUAUGAUGAAUAAAUUACUAUUUUUCACUUAAGUCAUCUCAGUGCACGCUUGUUUUGAGCUGAUCCACGGUGCAUACAGACGCCACAACUUCAGAGGUGCAUGUUGAUACAACUUGAAUGGAAUCAUUUUUAAAGGAAUACCCUAGUUGGGUGCUAGGAAUAGCAAAUUUUCAUUUUUGGGUGAACUAUUCCUUUAAUGCUACCAAAAUGUCUUUAAAGCUUUGUUUCAUGAAUCAAAUUGCUUGUUUAUUAUAGAACAAAAAUGUAGAACAUUUUUAGUAACUAAAACACUUUUUCUGCAUGCACAAUUGAUGUAGAACUGAGUCACUGAUCCAGAGUCAGCUUUUCUCAUCCCAUUCUCCCAGUUACAGGGAGCUCUAACACGGAGCAGUUUGGCUUCAUAAGUCAGUGAAUUGAGCGAGUAUUUCACUCUGUAUAUCAUGUCGUGGCCAUUUUUUUUUAAAUGCAGCGUGUAUUUACACAUGAAUCAAUAGCGUUUCACUCAACCGAAUGUUGUUGACCUCAUAUUAUGUUAAACCACAAUAUGCGCAUGCACGUUAGUGAGUUGAUUGACAGGCGAUGUCUGUAUCUAAAAGUUGAUUGGCUCUUUUACCUGUAAGGUGGGACUUCCUUUCUACAUCCAUUGACUGUUGGUUGCUAGAGCUUCUUGGCUGGGUGUUCCAGUUUCUCCCAUUCAUCUCAAUAGAAGUGACUCGUCUCUGCUAAAUAGUCUCUGGCUUCACACUCUAGAGAAAUACAAUGCCCAUCAUGCACUACCUCUCCUCCUCAAAUUUUGCACACUUUUACUCCUGAUUUCUCACAAUACAGGGACAGUAGAGGUGUACAAAAGCAUUGCGUUACUUUAUUAAAAAAGUAACUCCGAUAUUACGGUCUAAAAUAAAAAAUAUUGCGCUACUUUAAAAGUAAUCUUGAUUACGUAACACGUGUUACUUUUAUCGCAUUACUCCCAACACUGAUUAUUACUGAUGAGACGAGAUGUACGAGAGCCGCAUCAAACAGGUAAUUGCACACGCAAUCUCUCUCAGUUUCUCUCUUUCCCUCACUUGCACAAACGCUCUACCUUGUUACUUCAGUAAGUGCUCCAGUAAAGCACCACAAGCAUCACAAUUCUCCAUUGCUAGUGUAACCCUGGUUAAAUAAUUGUUCAUAUUGUUUAUAAGAUUGCUUGACUAGAAUAUUAUGCCCAUCCAUAUGUCGUAAAUUCUUCGUACAUCAAUAAAUAUGUAUAUCUGAAAUUUAAGAAAUGAGUAACAACCAAUCGGAGCAAUGCAUUGUUAGCUCCGCCUCUCUUGCUUACGAAUAGCGUCACGCAGUUAGAAGACAGACGCAGAGCGACAGAGAAACACGUUCUUGUGUGAGUGUUAAAAUGAAAAAAUAUAACCCAUAAACUGUUCAAAAUACAUAUAAAUUGAAUGAAUCAGAUUGUCACUUCAAGAUCUUGGAUCAUCAGGUGUUAAUCGGGCAAUCCAAAACUUAUGUGCUGACUCGGCCGGACCGCAUGGUGUAUUGCAUGUUUGCAGCUGUUGACGCCAUUUUGGUUGUACGGGCCUAUAAAGAAAGAAAAGAGAGAGAAAAGGACAUGAAUAGACAGGCCAGGUUUUUUUUUUUCUGCGUGGAUAUUCUUCUGAACUGGAUUCCUUUAAUUGAUGGCGAGCCACCCACCUUGAUGCAGAAAGUAUAACGGACCUAGAGUAAAGGACACUUCUUCUCACUUUAUCAUUUCUCUUCAGACAAGUAAGAGAGUUCGUUCACAGAGACUGAUUCUUUUACUUUAUGGGACUGAAACAUUUCAGGAACACAACUAAAGGAGUUAAGACUGAUCCAUUUUCUUAUUGAAAAGGAUUUUUGAACUUAAAAACUGAAUUCAGUGUGGGUAACAUACAUCAUUGAUUUAAAUGUGUUUUCUUCCAUUUCUGUUCACUUUUUACAGUGAUUGCGAUUGUAAUUACUACUAAAUGAAGGAAGAUUUAGAGGGUGCACCCAGGGUAUGUUCAUAUAUAUAGUUAUUGUGUUUUCUCUGGUCAUUGUUGUUGUUAUGGUAAUGUGAAAAAAAAAGAAAGAAAACAAAACACUAAAGAUUCAAAGUAAAGAAAACAUUUAUGGUUAACCCACCUUCUGCCUCUGUCUAUUACUCAGCACCACUGCCGCCUCUUUUUGCAUACCUUGUAGUCUUCUGAUAAUAUUGUCUGGUCCAGUAGUCAGUGAGGUAAGACCUGGUACACUAGUUCUAAAGUGACAUUUUUGAACAAGCAAAAAGGGCCUGGUUGUUUCAAAACAAGACGCUGAAACCUUGGUGGAAGAAAGUAGUUCUACUCACAAGAGCAUAUUAGGGACAAAAACCAGAAAAUGUCUUGAGAUAAAACCCUGAAUGAUGUCUUAAGUUGUGGUAACCGUGGUAUAAGCAGAAUAAUUGACUCCGGCCCAUCUUGACCGCAUUACCACUUCGGGGUGUGCAUUAUUUUUCAAUGAUUCAAUGGUCCGUCAUCAAUUAUUCCUUGCAUGUUCUUUAUUAGAAUACAUGUUGGAGUUACUUUUUAGUUGAGUACAUUAUUAUUUAUAAGCUGGAUAAUCAAAUUGUGAAUCGUCCUUAAGUUUGGAAAAAAUUGUGAUUUUAUUUUUUUGCCAUAUUGCCCAAGGUCACAUGAAAAAAAAAAAAAAUAUGCAGCCUUAUACAUGGAUUCCUUAACACUGACUGACUAAUAGUUUUGUACAUCCCUAUCCUUAACCUGCAAAUUCUGUAUUAAAGAAUGAAACAAAUGUCAUGUCAGACACAACUGUUCAAUAAACAUUUAUUUCUUUUAUUUUUCUUAUUAUCGUCAAUCGUGUUAUCCCUAUUUUUUUUUUAAUUAACAUUAUUUAUUAAAUCAUACGAUAACAAGGAAAUGCAAAACACACACAUAUA